rnacentral:rRNA from 1 species
AACUGCGAGUGAAGCGGGAAAAGCUCAAAUUUAAAAUCUGGUGGUCUUUWGGYCAUCCGAGUUGUAAUUUAGAGAAGCGUCUUCCGCGCCGGACCGUGCACAAGUCUCCUGGAAUGGAGCGUCAUAGAGGGUGAGAAUCCCGUCUUUGGCAUGGACACCCGGGGCUUCUGUGAUGCGCUCUCGAAGAGUCGAGUUGUUUGGGAAUGCAGCUCAAAAUGGGUGGUGAACUCCAUCUAAAGCUAAAUAUUGGCGAGAGACCGAUAGCGAACAAGUACCGUGAGGGAAAGAUGAAAAGCACUUUGGAAAGAGAGUGAAACAGUACGUGAAAUUGUUGAAAGGGAAACGCUUGAAGUCAGUCGCGUUGACCGAGACUCAGCCUUGCCUUGGCUUGGUGUACUUCUCGGCUGACGGGCCASUAUCAAUUUUGUCCCUCGGAUAAUGGCAAGGGAAAGGUGGCACCUUUACCGGUGUGUUAUAGUCUCUUGUCGCAUGCGAGGGGCGGGAUUGAGGAACUCAGCACGCACCUUUUGGUGUCGGGGCCUUGGCCC